GACAGCAGCCGCCACGGGAAUACGUAGGUGGCAAGCGUUGUCCGGAAUUAUUGGGCGUAAAGGGCUCGCAGGCGGUUUCUCAAGUCUGAUGUGAAAGCCCCCGGCUCAACCGGGGAGGGUCAUUGGAAACUGGGAAACUUGAGUGCAGAAGAAGAGAGUGGAAUUCCACGUGUAGCGGUGAAAUGCGUAGAGAUGUGGAGGAACACCAGUGGCGAAGGCGACUCUCUGGUCUGUAACUGACGCUGGGGAGCGAAAGCGUGGGGAGCGAACAGGAUUAGAUACCCGCGUAGUCCCUGUCUCUUAUAC
rnacentral:rRNA from 1 species